rnacentral:tRNA from 1 species
GCCACCUUAGCUCAGUCGGUAGAGCAUCUCAUUCGUAACGAGAAGGUCGCCGGUUCGAUCCCGGCAGGUGGCUCCA